GCGGUCGUGCUGGAAUUGGCAGACAGGCAUGGUUGAGGGCCAUGUGUCGUAAGACGUGAGGGUUCAACUCCCUCCGACCGCACAA
rnacentral:tRNA from 1 species